CAAUAGCGUAUAUUAAAGUUGUUGCAGUUAAAAAGCUCGUAGUUGGAUUUCGGGGCAGCCUGGCUGGUCCGCCGCAAGGCGAGUACUGGUCAGCCGCCCUUCCUCUCGAAAGCCCCGACUGCUCUUCGUUGCAGUGGUCGGGUAGUUCGGGACGUUUACUUUGAAAAAAUUAGAGUGUUCAAGGCAGGCCUACGCCUGAAUACAUUAGCAUGGAAUAAUGGAAGAGGACCUCGGUCCUAUUUUGUUGGUUUCCAGGGCCGAAGUAAUGAUUAAGAGGGACAGUUGGGGGCAUUCGUAUUUAAUUGUCAGAGGUGGAAUUCUCGGAUUUAUGAAAGACGAACAACUGCGAAAGCAUUUGCCAAGGAUGUUUUCAUUAA
rnacentral:rRNA from 1 species